CCUUAUUGGAGAGUUUGAUCCUGGCUCAGGACGAACGCUGGCGGCGUGCUUAACACAUGCAAGUCGAGCGGUAAGGCCCUU
rnacentral:rRNA from 1 species